rnacentral:rRNA from 1 species
AUGGCGGAUAUCAGGACGAUCACCGGCAGGAAAGGUGACAUAUACUCUACGAAACUCGGCUCAGCUUCUUGGUACUUCUAUGAUCGAUCCGGGUCUCUUGUAUCACAGCUUUUCAUUCUAGAUGACGUGGGUGAUGCCACUGCCAACGCCAACGACAUGCUGACUGCUGUACUUGGUCGAGAUGGAUCCAUUGCCUUCAGCUUCCUUCCAAAUUGGAAUUGCUGGAGCAGUCGGCCAAAGGGGAUUCCGCUGGGCUCGUGUGACGUGCCAGCACGAUGCAGCCCAUACACCAUCUGCAUCGAGGGGGCAGGGUGCCAGUGCUCCUCGGCCCUGAGUUCGUUUCCGAACUGCAACCCCGGUAUCAUGUCAUCGUGUAGCUCAAGGGAUGAGUGGAGUUGGAUAUACCGGCACAAGAUUCGCCUUGCCUGUUGCAGCGAACACAAACAUCACAGGAUGCAAGGAUGCCUGCAUGAACAAUUGUUCGUAUCUGACUUUGGUCUUGCCAAACUGAUGAGCAGAGAGCAAAGCCACGCCUUCACGAUGCUGAGAGGCACCCGAGGCUAUCUUGCGCCGGAGUGGAUCACCAACCGUGCCGUCUCAGAGAAGUGUGACGUCUAUAGCUAUGGGAUGGUCCUGCUCGAAAUAAUUAGUGGGAGGAGGAACUUUGAUCCCAUGGAGGACUCGGAGAAAGCCCAUUUCCCACCCUUUGCGUUCAAGAAGAUGGAGGAAGGUGAUCUUCGUAGUAUCUUCGAUGCCAAGCUCAAUUAUGAUGGAGAUGAUGAUCGGAUGGAUAUAGCGAUCAAGGUUGCUAUGUGGUGCAUCCAAGAAGAUUUCCACCAGAGACCUGCCAUGUCAAAAGUUGUCCAGAUGCUUGAAGGGGUAUGUGACGUGCCCCAUCCACCGACAUCCUCGCGAACUGUAUCCAUACUCCAUGAGACAGCUUACAAACCGAGUAGUGCGUUACCUUCAGCCGUGCAGCUCUCUCAAGCCAGAUGA